ensembl:lncRNA
AAAAUAUACUUUGAUCCUUAAUUAGACAAUAAUACUCAAAAAUGUCUUAAUGAGCCUUUUUGGGUGGCUGUUGUUGAAUGUCUAUGUCCCAUAAUGCACUGCUUGUAUAUUAAUAUCUAUAUUUAAACUGUGCCAAACAUACGAACAGUUUUUUCACCAAGUUGCAUGAAGCAAUAUGUUAAAGAAAUGCUGAUCGCUGGCUGCUGACUCAUUUUCUACGGGGACUUCACAGAGAUUGGAUACGGAGGCUUAUGAAGUCAUUGAUCACUGUGAAAUUUGAGGACAUUUUUUCCAGAACCAAACCACUUACAUUUAUCAAUGCAUUGCAAAUAUAAUGAAUAGAAAUUGUGUCUGUGUUUAAACAGUGUGGGCAAAAAUUAUAGUAUAUUAUGGAUCUCAAAAUGUACCUUCUCAACCAAGGCUAUUAUAACUGUCAGUUAAUGGAUUUAUGUGUUGAUGAUCAGAUAAUCAGUGUGUCUUUCAAAGUGCUUGAUCACAAUUUGACUACACUAUUUUCACUGUGGUCUAGGAUAGAAAUAUGCUUAAACGCUCUUAUACCAGUUGUGGCUCUGCUAACACACGUGCUAAAGAAGAUUUAGCAGGUUAUAAACAUGGUUGUUGAAAGACAACAAAACAGAUUUGGUCAGCUGUUAAAAGAAAGUUUGAUAUUCUGGAAAAUGCUCGUCUUUAUAAGAAAAAGUGAGGCGACAAGAGGAUAAAUAUCAUUUUCUUCUUGCAUUUCAAGUUUGACGCUAAGAGCUAGUUAAAGUUAGCAUAAGGGCUGGAAGAAGAGAGCAACAGUUAGCCUGGCUCUGGCCUCAAAUGUACCACAACUCUGAAAUGAAACCGUCAUUUUCACAUUUCUGUGAACGGGUUCAAGAAACAAGACAAAUAAGUUAAUUUGAGAGGUUCUUACAUUGAUUGGUAGACAUAUUUUUGUACUUUUCAGUCUUUAAGCUAAGCUAAGCUAAGCUAACAGCUUCCCGACUCCAGCCCUGCACAGUCAAGUUUUUCACUAACCUCAGUAAAAAAAAGGCAGUUAGCCACAACAGCUUCUAAUUUUACUGUUUCUUUCAACAGUUAGCUACAACAGCUUCUAAUUUUAUUGUUUCUUUCAACAGUUAGCUACAACAGCUCCUAAUUUUAUAGUUUCUUUUCCUCUGACAACUGCCUAAAAAAAUCUAAUUUUGGAAAAUUCAGAACAGCAUUCUCAGUUGUAAGGCCAGUGUUAUGUUUUCCGUGAGUACGCAAAGGAUUUUACGUAGUUACUGACUGCACUACAAUGGGCACUAGUGCACAUAUUUGGGGGUAGCAUGUAUACAUGAAUACAUAGAUAUGACCUACUGCUCAUGUAUGCAGUAAAAUCUUCCAAAAAGACUCCUGUUGAUGGAAAACUAGUGUAAAUCAUUGAUUAUAAUGAGGCACAAACAUGCUAAUGGACAGCUGUGAAUAUGCACGGAUGUAUAACUGUUGCUAUUAUUCUACUUUCUAGUCCAAAGGAGUCCGCUUGUAAGAAACGGCUGCAUAGAUGUGCAGUAGGUUGCAUUGACAACCUAUUGUAUACUACUGGGUUCUAGCGUGGUCACCAUAAAUUUUGGCUAGACAUAUGCAGAUGAAGUUCUUGCCAAAUUGGGAAGAGGAUGGAAUUUAUCUCACAUUGGCCCUUGUGUGCUCACAGAGAUGAAAAAUAUGACCUAUAACCUAACACUAACCCAAACCCCACGGAGUAUAAUCAAUGCUUUAAAGUUCAAAGAGCUGACAUCCAGUUAGUAGCCAAGUCACAGGACCACAAACCUGCACCGUACCUUGGAGUUACCCAACCAUAUAAACCAGUAUGACUCAUCUACCCAGCUACAUAAUGAAUACAAAACUUUAUUGCGGCAAUUAACCUGACAUGACCUUUUCCAGCCACAUCUUUUGUCAUAAUUUCCCGUCACGGCCACAAUAACAAGAUACUGACUUUGAACUAAAGCAGAUCAUCAGCAUAUAUGGUAAUCAGUCCACCACUUAGCAGGAGAGGAGGUUAAAAAAAACAGAUGCAGUUGUAACAGUUAACCAGCAACAUGCCAAAGCAUUUCUCUUUAUCAUUUCCUCUGUGCUUCUCUGUAUCUGUUGUAUAUACUUCAAGCCAAGAUGCCUAGUUAGCUCCUCACUAGCCUAAUGUGGGUGCAAGCAGUUGUGGUAACAAAACAUUUGAGACUGUAAAUUGAAAUGUCAAAAUGUUGAAAAUGAAAAAAAUACCCCUUUGUAUCAGGUUGGGUCGUGAUUGGCUAGUUGCACUGCCACAAAGCAUCAGUAAUUGUGCUAGUGGCCCAUAAGGCUACUAAUGUUGACAGCAUCCCACUGGACUGAUGUGUUGAGCAACACUAAAUAAGGAAGGUGGUUUUGCUUUUCUCUGUGUCUUAUCAAUGGCAGGACUACAGUGUUGUACUACAGGAAAAGCCAGGAGAUCAAUAAAAUCAGCAGGAUUUGGGAGUUAAUUUUCCAACUAAAUGACGAGACAGUCAAAUAACAACAAUAACUAGCAACAUUUUUGAUUUAUUUUCUGUUUUCUCAGACUCACAUGAUUGAGUUUUAGACCGUUGGUUGGACAAAACAAGCAAUAUUCCCAAGCAUUUUCAGACAAUUUUCCAAUUAAAUUAUUGCCUCACAUCAUUUAAUAAUGAAAAUACUUUUUUCCCCUUAGAUAUGAGUUGAUAUCGGAUGAUCCAUAGAAUCUUUUGGGAAGCAUCAAUGUGUUCCAUAAAUGUCGUGCUAAUUUAGCAAUUAUAUUUGAAUAGGAGGAAUGUGGUGGCAAAUUGGCUGAUAGUUUUUGAAAGCCUUUCUUACAAAGUUGGAUUGCUUUGAUGUAAAUGUCAUAAAUGUCUGCACUCGCAGUAUAUUAAUGCUCCCUGGCUGCACUGUUCCUUGUGAUGCUCACAGUAGAACUGUGGUCUUGCGCUCCUUUCUAUAUGUAUGUCGCUGUUUGUAACCGAGAGCUGUGUGUUUGACUCCAUGCAGCAGCUGCAUACUAAGAGGCCUGUACACGCACAUCCAGUGCUUCAGCCUGAAAGUAGUGGUCGUUUAAAAGGUGGAUUUGAAAUGACAAUGAUAGGGAACUAAUAGUGGUAUCACUGAGUCAUUUCUUUAGGAUUUGAAACAAAUACUUUUCCAAUCUCUCGCCAUAAAAGACAAGAAUCCAUGACAUGUUAGCGUACUAUACAUGCUACUUGAUGUCAGAUCUACAUCAAAACAACCUGUUUUUAUGUGUAUUUUUAGUUAGCACAGAAAAAGCCUCAAUGAACAAUUAAAAUGUGAAAAAGUCUUGAAUUAUUGCCAAAAAAAGACAGGUUUUAGGCUGAGGUUGUGUCCAAUGCAGACCUAAUGAAUAAAUAAUAGCGUACAUGAAUCAUGUGAGCUUAUGGCAAACCAACCGCUAAUAUUCACACAGUGGUUGUUUCUUUAAGUUUCUACUUGGUGGUUUGUUGUAGUAGAAAUUAAACUGCCGGAGUAGUUUACAGCACAAUACCAUCCUGAACAAUGUGCUCCAUUCAAAGCUGGAAUUUCCCAGUUAGUUGGACGACUCAUUUUGGUUAUCAAACCAGAAACUUUCUUUGCUUUGUGUACUGUACUUCUGCCGCAACACAAAACUCUAGUGUAUCAGUACUUAACAUGUUUCUAGCUACGUUGGGGUGGACUGUUAGCAGCUGCAAAUGCAACUCUGCUUCACCGUCAGUCAAGUUUCUUGUAGGUUUUGAUAAAUUUAUGGUGUUGGAGUGUCCAUUUUCAGAAUAAAACGGUUCCAGUAAGUAAUGGUGUUUAUGGACGGAGUGCCAUCAAGUUUUAUUUGACUAUAUCUUUGAAAAUAAUACAUCUUGCCUGAUUUUCUUGCUUGCGCUUUUUGUUUCUAAGAGUUCAGAAUUUCAGAAUCCAUCACAUCUGAAAGGCUGUCUUAGCCUCCGCAUCUUGAUUAGUCAUCAUCUACACUGCCAGAAGGGCCAUAUUUGAAAGGAAAUAUGGGUGAAUGAAGGUGCUUGUUUGUAUUUCUGUAUAAACAUGCAGAUAAAGCCUCUCAAAUCAGGUUGUAUUCCACAUUUCAAAAGCACACUACGAUCCAACCAUCCAACCGACCCCUUGUCUGUACCUACAGUAUGUGAAUCAACAUGUACUACAUUACGUGUACGCAAGCAAAUAAAAGAAAGUUG